rnacentral:rRNA from 1 species
UACGUAGGGUGCGAGCGUUUAAUCGGAAUUACUGGGCGUAAAGGGCGCGUAGGCGGGAUGGCAAGUCGGUCGUGAAAUCCCUCGGCUCAACCGAGGAACGUCGAUCGAUACUGCUGUUCUUGAGGAUUGCAGAGGAGACUGGAAUUCCCGGUGUAGCGGUGAAAUGUGUAGAGAUCGGGAGGAACACCGGUGGCGAAGGCGGGUCUCUGGGCAAUUCCUGACGCUGAGGCGCGAAAGCGUGGGGAGCAAACGGG